rnacentral:rRNA from 1 species
AUUGAACGCUGGCGGCAGGCCUAACACAUGCAAGUCGAGCGGCAGCGGGAAAGUCGCUUGCUACUUUUGCCGGCGAGCGGCGGACGGGUGAGUAAUGCCUGGGAAAUUGCCCAGUCGAGGGGGAUAACAGUUGGAAACGACUGCUAAUACCGCAUACGCCCUACGGGGGAAAGCAGGGGACCUUCGGGCCUUGCGCGAUUGGAUAUGCCCAGGUGGGAUUAGCUAGUUGGUGAGGUAAUGGCUCACCAAGGCGACGAUCCCUAGCUGGUCUGAGAGGAUGAUCAGCCACACUGGAACUGAGACACGGUCCAGACUCCUACGGGAGGCAGCAGUGGGGAAUAUUGCACAAUGGGGGAAACCCUGAUGCAGCCAUGCCGCGUGUGUGAAGAAGGCCUUCGGGUUGUAAAGCACUUUCAGCGAGGAGGAAAGGUCAGUAGCUAAUAUCUGCUGAUUGUGACGUUACUCGCAGAAGAAGCACCGGCUAACUCCGUGCCAGCCGCCGCGGUAACAC